rnacentral:misc_RNA from 1 species
UCUCCGUUGGUGAACCAGCGGAGUGAUCAUUACUGGAAUCGCAAGAUCCCACAACCCUGUGAACCUACCGAAACGUUGCCUCGGCGGGUGCCCGGCCUCUGCGCCGGGCGCUGCGCCCGCCGGCGGCCCCCUACUCUGUCUCUGCAGCGUGGCAUCUCAGAGUCCCAGAAAACAAGUCAAAACUUUCAACAACGGAUCUCUUGGCUCUA